GAUGAACGCUGGCGGCGUGCCCAAUACAUGCAAGUCGUACGGAAAGGCCCUUCGGGGUACUCGAGUGGCGGACGGCUGAGUAACGCGUGGGAACGUGCCCCAAAGUGAGGGAUAACGCACCGAAAGGUGUGCUAAUACCGCAUAUGGUCUUCGGAUUAAAGCUUCGGCGCUUUGGGAGCGGCCCGCGUACGAUUAGAUAGUUGGUGAGGUAAUGGCUCACCAAGUCGACGAUCGUUAGCUGGUCUGAGAGGAUGAUCAGCCAGACUGGGACUGAGACACGGCCCAGACUCCUACGGGAGGCAGCAGUAAGGAAUUUUCCACAAUGGGGGCAACCCUGAUGGAGCAACGCCGCGUGCAGGAUGAAGGUUUUCGGAUCGUAAACUGCUUUUAUAAGUGAAGAAUAUGACGGUAACUUAUGAAUAAGGAUCGGCUAACUACGUGCCAGCCGCCGCAGUAACAC
rnacentral:rRNA from 1 species